CUAUACAGCUUCACAAACAUAGCUUCUCUCUCCAAUCAAUUCUGUCAAAAUUAUUCAAUACUUUCCUUUCUCAAAUGUAUUUCUAAUAGAAAAACCCUAAAUGUUACGUAUCAUUCAUCUUAUCUCCAAUCCAUCACCAUAUUCUCGAUUGAACACUGGCAAUCGAAAUCGAUGAAGGAAAUGUGGGGCUGUGGUGCUGCAGAUCUGGCUGGAAAAACGUUUUCAGAUCUCAAAAUCGUGUUGUUAGUGGUGGCGACAAGUGUUUUCUUUCGAUCAAUCUGUCUACGAUUAUUCAAGCCUAAUCAUGGAAGGGAUUAUUGAACCCCAAAUCAUAACCGGAGGAUCUGGAUUAGUUUGUGUGUACUGAUUACGUUAUUGGUGUUUAGAGGCUUUGAUAAGUGAUGAUCAAGAACCCUAAUUCUUUGCCCAUAUCUACAAUACUCAGUUUUUGUUUCCAUUUUGACAAUUGGAGCAAUGGUAGGGACAUUCGUGCAUGGUAAAAUAGCAGAUCGACUUAGGCGAAGAAUGGUUUCUUGGUUGCUUGAUGCUGGACCACUGUUGAUCGGAUAUGGAAUUGAGGUUCUCUCUUAUGUGGCACUUGGAAAUUCUUCUUCAUUCUGUUACUGUUAUACCAAACUUUCUGAUUCUUUGGCUCUGAUUAAUAAAACAGGUACCCGUUUACAUAGCAGAAAUAUCACCUCAAAACCUUCGCGGAGCUUUUACCACUGUUAAUAAGGUAUAUAGCAUUUUUUUAUGUGGUUCAUUCUUAUAUGUCAGAUCAAGUGUUGACAAAUGCGUUGAGCACCGCUACAACUGAUGAUAUGUGUUGGAGUAUCUGUAAUUUGGCUUAUUGGAACAUUCAUUCCUGGCGCACCCUAGCUCUAAUUGGUAAAGUUGUUCAAAUUUCUACCAAUCUUGAAGAUAUACCAAUUUGAUAAUUUGUGGAGUUGGCAAAAUGGGCUGGCUACAAGUGAUUGUUAUGUCAAAAUAUUGUUACAUUAUUUCAGUAAUAUGCAUUAAAAAUAGACUUUCCGUUCCCUUUUUACCUGCUUUUUUAUUUUAUUUUACCCAUUAGAGGUAAACAUAACCCAAAUUGACCCAAAUGGGUUGAAGCAACUCUUUAUUUAGUAUGUGCUUUCAGGAAUCAUUCUGUGUCUACUACAGGUAAUAGGCAUGUUCUUCCUAUCUGAAUCUCCUAGAUGGCUGGCAAAAAUUGGUCUGUGGGAAGAAUGCGAGUCUGCACUUCACCAGCUGUCAAAAACUAGAGUCUUUGAUUUAUUCCAACCGACAUAUGCUAAAUAUCUUAUUGUUGGAGUUGGACUUAUGGUAUUGGAGCAAUUUGGAGGCGUGAACGCAAUUGUAUUUUACGUGGAUUCUAUCUUCAUUUUUGCUGUUUUGCAGUGAGAAACAUCACCUUCAAGUAGCGGCUGCUGAGAAGAUCGACCAGCUCAUGCAAGACGCAAAUCACUCACAAAUUUGGUCUAUUUGUGGCACGCAUAUAAGAUAAACUCCAUUAGUUACUAUCUGAUUUGGAUCCAAUGCUAUAAUGUUAUCUGGAGGCCUACUACUAUAUGAAUGCACCAUGGGUUUUUCAAAAAUGGGGUUAGGGUGAAGCUGGAGGUCUUCAAAACAUAGGGCAAGGUAACGUCAAACGAAGAUGCGAGAGAGAUUGUAGCCAGACUAGAGUUGACCAACUUCUUCUUGCACCAGGACAUUUCACAGCUGCAAGGCAUACAUGAUGACAUGAGUUUCGCUCAAAACUUUCUAAAGAAGAGUCUGUAAUCCUUUUUCCAAGGUUUGUUUUGAGAAUGGAGAAUUGGGUACGUGUAACAUUUGGAAUCGAGCCAUCGGUCGAGGAAGACGGGCUUGAAAGGAUUAAAGCAUCUUGCCCGAGGCAUGCAAGCAAGUGCUAAGUUGUUGUGCUUUCUCUACUCAACAGAGGUUAAGUGUUGAGUUGUCAUUAAAAACGAUUUGGACUGCAAAAGUCAUCUAUUCAUCACCAAAAAACAGGGUUUAAACAUCACUUCAUUUUGUCCAUGCUAGCUGUGUUAGCUCAGCAACUCCGCCUCUACAAGUUGCCGGUGCUUGAUACCAUUAAAGGCUUCUCUCUUUUUCGAGUAGAUUGUACUGAAACUGUUUGUGAUCAACCACCGGAAAAGUUCAAUCCCAAUGAUGGCGAUGGUCUCUGCAUGAUUUUUACUAAAAGUUCUUAUGAGCUUUCUUCUCAUCCAGUCUGAUAUGAACCAAGCCAUGAGGAAACGUCCUCGAACGUUAUUCAACUAGAGCAUGGCAGUUAUCUGUGUCUUCUCUACC